rnacentral:rRNA from 1 species
UAGUGGCGAGCGAACGCGGAUCAGGCUAAACCGUUUCAUGUGUGAUAGCCGGCGGGCGUUGCAUGGGCGGGGUUGUGGGACUUUCCGUUCUGGUUCUGCCGGACCAGUGAGGUGAGGUGCAGGCAUAGGUGAACGGUCUUGAAAGGCCGGCCAGAGAGGGUGUGAGCCCCGUAACCGUAAUGUUGUGCACGGCCUGGGGAGUAUCCCAAGUAGCACGGGGCCCGAGAAAUCCCGUGCGAAUCUGUCAGGACCACCUGAUAAGCCUAAAUACUUCCUAAUGACCGAUAGCGGACCAGUACCGUGAGGGAAAGGUGAAAAGUACCCCGGGAGGGGAGUGAAACAGUACCUGAAACCGUGUGCUUACAAUCCGUCGGAGCAGUCUUGUUACUGUGACGGCGUGCCUUUUGAAGAAUGAGCCUGCGAGUUAGUGUUACGUCGCGAGGUUAACCCGUGUGGGGUAGCCGUAGCGAAAGCGAGUCUGAAUAGGGCGAGUGUAGUGGCGUGAUCUAGACCCGAAGCGGAGUGAUCUACCCAUGGCCAGGUUGAAGCGACGGUAAGACGUCGUGGAGGACCGAACCCACUUCAGUUGAAAAUGGAGGGGAUGAGCUGUGGGUAGGGGUGAAAGGCCAAUCAAACUCCGUGAUAGCUGGUUCUCCCCGAAAUGCAUUUAGGUGCAGCGUUGCGUGUUUCUUGCCGGAGGUAGAGCUACUGGAUGGCCGAUGGGCCCUACAAGGUUACUGACGUCAGCCAAACUCCGAAUGCCGGUAAGUCAGAGCGCAGCAGUGAGACUGUGGGGGAUAAGCUUCAUAGUCGAGAGGGAAACAGCCCAGACCACCAACUAAGGCCCCUAAGCGUGUGCUAAGUGGGAAAGGAUGUGGAGUUGCGAAGACAACCAGGAGGUUGGCUUAGAAGCAGCCAUCCUUGAAAGAGUGCGUAAUAGCUCACUGGUCAAGUGAUUCCGCGCCGACAAUGUAGCGGGGCUCAAGUACACCGCCGAAGUUGUGGAUUUCACAUAUUGCCCUAGCCUUCGUGGUUCAGGGGUGUGGAGUGGUAGGGGAGCGUCGUGUGGGCAGUGAAGUCGCGGUGGAAACCAGCGGUGGAGCCUACACGAGUGAGAAUGCAGGCAUGAGUAGCGAAAGACGGGUGAGAAACCCGUCCGCCGAAUGAUCAAGGGUUCCAGGGUCAAGCUAAUCUGCCCUGGGUAAGUCGGGACCUAAGGCGAGGCCGACAGGCGUAGUCGAUGGACAACGGGUUGAUAUUCCCGUACCGGCGAAAAACCGUCCAUGCCAAGCGGGGGAUACUAACCGCCCGGAGCCUGCCCUAUCACCCUUGUGGUGUGUGGGUUUUGGCCGAGCGCGGGAUCUGAUCCCGGGAGGUAAGCGUAUUAACAGGUGUGACGCAGGAAGGUAGCCGGGCCGGGCGAUGGUUGCCCCGGUCUAAGGAUGUAGGGUCAGGGAUAGGCAAAUCCGUUCCUGUGUGUUUCGAGCACGAUCCUGAGAUCUGAUGGGACCCCCGUUCGGGGGGAUCCGGUGAUCCUAUGCUGCCAAGAAAAGCAUCGACGCGAGGUUUUAGCCGCCCGUACCCCAAACCGACACAGGUGAUCAGGUAGAGAAUACCAAGGCGAUCGAGAGAAUUAUGGUUAAGGAACUCGGCAAAAUGCCCCCGUAACUUCGGGAGAAGGGGGGCCUGCCCCGUGAUGGAGACUUGCUCUCCGUGAGCGGGUGUGGGCCGCAGAGACCAGGGGGAAGCGACUGUUUACUAAAAACACAGGUCCGUGCGAAGUCGCAAGACGAUGUAUACGGACUGACUCCUGCCCGGUGCUGGAAGGUUAAGAGGACCGGUUAGCCCUUACGGGCGAAGCUGAGAAUUGAAGUCCCAGUAAACGGCGGCCGUAACUAUAACGGUCCUAAGGUAGCGAAAUUCCUUGUCGGGUAAGUUCCGACCUGCACGAAUGGCGUAACGAUGGCCACACUGUCUCCACCAGAGACUCAGCGAAGUUGAAAUACGAGUGAAGAUGCUAGUUACCCGCGGCAAGACGGAAAGACCCCGUGAACCUUUACUAUAGCUUGGUAUUGGUGUUCGGAGUGGCUUGUGUAGGAUAGGUGGGAGACUGUGAAACCGGGACGCCAGUUCUGGUGGAGUCAUCCUUGAAAUACCACCCUGGUAUGUUUGGAGUUCUAACCUCGACCCGUGAUCCGGGUUAGGGACAGUGUCUGGUGGGUAGUUUGACUGGGGCGGUCGCCUCCCAAAGAGUAACGGAGGCGCCCAAAGGUUCCCUCAGCCUGGUUGGAAAUCAGGUGUCGAGUGUAAGUGCACAAGGGAGCUUGACUGUGAGAGAGACAUCUCAAGCAGGGACGAAAGUCGGGACUAGUGAUCCGGCGGUACAUUGUGGAAUGGCCGUCGCUCAACGGAUAAAAGGUACCUCGGGGAUAACAGGCUGAUCUUGCCCAAGAGUCCAUAUCGACGGCAUGGUUUGGCACCUCGAUGUCGGCUCGUCGCAUCCUGGGGCUGGAGUAGGUCCCAAGGGUUGGGCUGUUCGCCCAUUAAAGUGGUACGCGAGCUGGGUUCAGAACGUCGU